rnacentral:rRNA from 1 species
UACGGAGGAUCCGAGCGUUAUCCGGAAUCAUUGGGUUUAAAGGGUCCGUAGGUGGACUGUUAAGUCAGGGGUGAAAUCCCGCGGCUCAACCGUGGAAUUGCCCUUGAUACUGGCGGUCUUGAGUCGCCAUGAGGUAGCUGGAAUAUGUAGUGUAGCGGUGAAAUGCAUAGAUAUUACAUAGAACACCGAUUGCGGAGGCAGGUUACCAAUGGCGCACUGACACUGAUGGACGAAAGCGUGGGGAGCGAACAGG